GACGUAGGGCGCGAGCGUUGUCCGGAAUCAUUGGGCGUAAAGCGCGCGUAGGCGGCCCGAUAAGUCCGCUGUAAAAGUCCAGGGCUCAACCCUGGAAGCCGGUGGAUACUGUCGGGCUAGAGUCCGGAAGAGGCGAGUGGAAUUCCUGGUGUAGCGGUGGAAUGCGCAGAUAUCAGAGGAACACCGAUGGCGAAGGCAGCUCGCUGGGACGGUACUGACGCUAAGGCGCGAAAGCGUGGGGAGCGAACGAGG
rnacentral:rRNA from 1 species